UACGAAGGGGGCUAGCGUUUUUCGGAAUCACUGGGCGUAAAGCGCACGUAGGCGGACUUUUAAGUCAGGGGUGAAAGCCUGGAGCUCAACUCCAGAACUGCCUUUGAUACUGAAAGUCUAGAGUUCGGAAGAGGUUGGUGGAACUGCGAGUGUAGAGGUGAAAUUCGUAGAUAUUCGCAAGAACACCAGUGGCGAAGGCGGCCAACUGGUCCGACACUGACGCUGAGGUGCGAAAGCGUGGGGAGCAAACAGG
rnacentral:rRNA from 1 species